CUUCGGUAUCCUCAAUUGGCUUAACCGAUGGAAAAACGGGAGCAACCGGUUCUGAAUUCCUCAAACCGGAUUCAGUAACCGACUGCUCGGGUUGAACCGGAGCUCUACAAAGCGGACAGGUAGAUCUCGACCGGAACCACGUGUCAAUACAGUCAACGUGGAACACGUGGCCGCAUUCGGGAAGGACACGUCCUUCGUCUUCUUCUUCAAAUUCCGAAUGAUAUCAUAGAAUCGGUAUUCUCCUUAUAUUGCAGACAAGUGCAGUGCUGGCACGACUAAUUAGUAGGCAACGUUUAAUAAUCAUCUUGCACCAGGUCUUGCUGCACGAUUGCUCUAGAUGUUAACGCAAGCAACGUUUUCAUUAUACUCUCUUUAAAUAUGUGUCUAACGAGGUAUCGACGGCUUCAUAAAACAUCAACGGUACAAACACAUACUAGUGUAAUAACGGGCACUGACUAUCGAUCUACAACGGGUUUUUUCCCAACAACUGUUAUUUGUUUUAUAAAAUCAGAUCUAUAGAAUCCAUAAUCUUUACAUACCGACUCAAACCGCAUCAAUAGGCUACAGUCCUGAAAUUUGGUAAUUGCAAAUAUCGAUUUAGGUCUAAUGGUCGAGUGUUUUCAUUUAAACAAUAGUGAGGAUUAUAGAAAGAUAAGAAGAGUCGAAUACUGUACUUUUUACAAACAAAAAAAGUUGGUCGUCAUGUUAUAUAUAUCUAUUCCUUAUAAUAAAGUUGGUCAUUCGUCCCCACAAAUGAAUUUGAAAAUUGGAGACAUGUGCGCUAGGAAUAGCUUUUAAAACUGAAAGGUGCAUGCAUCGUCAUUAUAAUGUGUUUGUUAGAAUAACUAUGAAAUAUAUCAAGUAAACCACUUUCUUUCAAGUGAUAUCUAGUUCUUGACACAUGCACAACGCACGCGAGAGUUAAUCGGAUGGUCCCCCACUCAUAAUAGUCUUUGAGUCCACGUCAGUUUGAGUACGUGCCAGUGUGUCAAAACUCCAUCCUACCUAAUACCACAAUCGUUGUAUAUAAAUUCAAUUUAAAAUUUCCGAUAGUUUUGUCACUAGAGUUCAUAAGCGGGAACAUUCUGAUUUAGGCUCAGCAAUUACUUGAAUGAACAUUCUGGUGUACAAUGUAUAUGAUAUGCAAUUACUUGAAUGAACAUUCUGGUGUACAAUGGAAACAACAUAUGAGCGAAAAGGGUAAAUGAAAUAGUGAAUGACAAGGUUUACAAACAAUUAAGGCUAAUAUUCGGUUAAUAAUGAACAUAUUAUUUUAAAAAAAUUUACAAUGAUAAAAGUAAUUAUUUACUUUAAUUACAACUCUGUAACAAACCAUUUUAAGAGAUUACAAAGGAACAAAGAGAAUCGUUUUGGCGGGAGAGCUUCGCUUAGCGAUUGCUUUGAUUCUCUACUUAAACGACAGUACAUACAUUGACCGAGUAGCCCUGCUUACCGGUUCGGUUAGCCGAUCUUUACGAAUCCGAAUUACGAUUCCAUCUCUUGCCCACCCGGUUCCCCAAUUAUCGGGUCGGACUCUUCAGUCCCAAACAAUUUUGAGUGAGGGAAGAAAUCAAAUACCCCAUAUCCUCUUCAUCGAAACCCGAUUAUUAGAUCCGUUGUCCCCGGGUAAACCGGAGUUAGAAGCGUCAAUUUCCCCCGGGAAUCUCAACAAGUAUACCGACUAAAUCAACCGGUUCCCUCUCGCAAGCUUCCAUCGGGAACCUCAACGGCGAACCAGACGAUGAAGACGGCGUCGAUGAAUCGGAUUCGUCCGAUGAUGACGAGCUCCCGGCUUCGGUAUCCUCAAUUGGCUUAACCGAUGGAAAAACGGGAGCAACCGGUUCUGAAUUCCUCAAACCGGAUUCAGUAACCGACUGCUCGGGUUGAACCGGAGCUCUACAAAGCGGACAGGUAGAUCUCGACCGGAACCACGUGUCAAUACAGUCAACGUGGAACACGUGGCCGCAUUCGGGAAGGACACGUCCUUCGUCUUCUUCUUC
rnacentral:lncRNA from 1 species